rnacentral:lncRNA from 1 species
GGCAGGGCAGGGCAGGGACACGUGAUUUCCCAGCUUGUUCCCUGGCAUUCACAGCAGCGAACAACAAAAAGACUCUUUUGGACAAGGUAGAGGGCAAGGAUUGAAGCCCAGGAUUGUCCUCUGAUACUGAAAACGUGCAGUGGGGGCAUUUGAGUGGGCAUACACAGGAAUAUUCAGGUACACAUACACACACACACACACACAUACACACACACACACACACACACACACACACACACACAGAGAGAGAGAGAGAGAGAGAGAGAGAGAGAGAGAGAGAGAGAGGGCACAUGCACACAGCACAUGCACACACACACACACACACACACACACACACACCAAAGUCUCAGUGAAUAUUUGAGCCUUCAGCCUUAAAGGCUGAUGGAUAUGAGAGAGGUGGAUAUCAGUGGCUUUAGACGCCCUGAUAUCCCUAUGGGCAGAGUUAGGCAGGGGUCUGACCUAAAACAAACAGACAUAGAAAAUGAAGGCAGGUAUGCUAGGCUUCUAUUCUGCUUUAAGUUACUCUGUGGGCCCAAGAGAGGAGUCAGUGCUUUUUAGCAAAAAAAAACCAAAAAAACAAACCCCCCCCCCCUGUGCUAUCUGCUAUGCUAAUGGGGUUCAUUUUUUUCUAUUUUUUUCAAGACAGGGUUUCUCUGUGUAGUCCUGGUUGUCCUUGAACUUGCUUUGUAACUAGGGUGGCCUCAAACUCAGAGAGCCACCUGCCUCUGCCUUCCAAGUGCUGGGAUUAAAGGUGUGUGGUGCGACACCAGACCAUCUGUUUAUUAUUAUAAUUACUAACGUUGCCGUUCUGGAGAUGCGACCCAAGGCCUUGAGCGUGUUGGGCAGGUGCUCUGUAAGUGAGCUGUAGCCACAGCGUUCACACUCAAAACUUAAGUUUAAUGUCACUUUUUGAAUCCAUGUUGCCAUGUUUUAAUAAAUAUUUUGUUUGUUUUAUUAUGUAUGUGAGUACACUGAUGUUCUCUUCAGACACACCAGAAGAGGGCAUCAGAUCCCAUUACAGAUGGUUGUGAGCCACCAUGUGGUUGCUGGGAAUUGAACUCAGGACUUCUGGAAGAGCAGCCAGUGCUCUUAACUGCCGAGCCAUCUCUCCAGCCCAUUUUUGUUUUUGUUUUUAUUUGUUUGUUGGUUGGUUUUUUUUGAAACAGGGUUUUUCUGGUGUAGCCCUGGCUGACCUGGACUUCACUCUGAGAUCUGCCUGCCCCUCCCCCUGCAGUGUUAGAGUUAAAGUUGUGCACCAUCCCCCAUCCUGGUGCCAUCUCUUGCUAUCUUUAAAACACCUUGCUGCAUUUUUAAUGAUUUUGUGUCUGAGCAUGUGUGGGUGUUGCACAAGCAGAGGUCCGAAUACAACUUUUGGGAGUUGGUUCUCUUCUCCUACCAUCGUGUGGGUUCUGGGCUUGGCUUCAGGUCAUCAAUCAGGCUUGGUGGUAGGUACCUUUCCAAUGCUGAUCCAUCUUUUGGUCCCCCCCCCCCUUUCUUGACUAUUUUCCCAGCCUUUGGGUUGUUUAUCUGGUACAACCCGGCACCCACUUACAGUAGACCUUCUCAUACUCACUCGGCGGUUAAGCCGAAACUUACUGACUCUCAGGUUGGUGAAAAGGGACUGUUUAGCCUUCAUAUAGAGAACGUAAGACUUACUAUCUAAUAUAAAGGUUCAGAAUAAAGAGAGCUUACCCUCUGAUGCAGGAGAGAGGAACCCUCCUGACAUAGAGAAGAGAAAUAGCUUUGUGAUUCAGAUAAAAGCUCCUGAUGAUGGUCAGUACUUGAGAGUCCUGAAAUUGACUGAAGAAUUCCUGUGCAUUCAGGUAGAGGAGGGACCACUUUAUGACAUGCAGGCAGCAGAGGUACAAAUUUCCUGACCCUCAGGUAGCUGUCCCCUUCCCCCCACCCCUUUCUGGUCUUGAACUCAUUCUGUAGCCCAGGCAGGAUUUGAACCUGCGGACUUCCCCUUGCCCCGGGUUCUUGAGUAACUGGGACUAUGAGCCUUCAGCAUGAAGUUCUACUAGCAUUUGGAUAUUUAUGUCACAAAUGACUUUUUUGAUUUCUAUCCUAAGGUGUAGUUCCUGACAAGUAGAAUAAAAACAGAGUCAUGUACAAGAAUGUGAGGAAUUUGCUAUUUGAAGGCUGGGCGUUGCUUCACAUUUUUCAUUGAAGAUGUAUGUUUGAAAAAGAACAUUCAGGGGGCUGGAGAGAUGGCUCAGCAGUUAAGAGCACUGACAGCUCUUCUGAAGGUCCCGAGUUCAAAUCCCAGCAACCACAUGGUGGCUCACAAUCAUCCGUAAUGAGAUCUGACACCCUCUUCUGCUGUGUCUGACAGCAGCUACAGCUAAUCAAUCAAUCAAUCAAUCAAUCAAUCAAUCAAUCAAUCAAUCUUUGGGCCAGAGUGAGUGGGGCCGGAGUGAGCAGAGGUCCUGAAUUAAGUUCAAUUCUCAGCAACCACAUGAUUGAUUACAACCAUCUUUUUAUCUACAGGGUACUCAUAUACAUAAAAUAAAUAGAUCUUAAACAAGAAAGAAAGAAAACAAACAUUCAGUAUUUCUACAAAUUAACAAGGAAUGUUAGAAGGAAUCUAACUAAUCUAAUCUAAUCUAAUUCUUCAUGUUAGCUAUCUAAAAAUUAUAUAUAUGCCUACUCAGUCCCAUUAGCAGUUGUGUGGGAUCAGGUACAUAUAACUCCGCCUGAGAAAUAGACUCAUUCUGGGAGGCACGUGUUUGGUACAGUUAGAACUGAGGUCCUUAGACCUCUGCCUCUGACCUUUCCCACAGGCCACACUGUUCUUAUUCCAGUUUCCAGGCUGUGACACAGGGCAGAGCAUCAAGGGGAGAGUCCAUGCAUUAGGGGGGAGGUUCUUCAGGCCCCUGAGGUCAUGUCCUACUGACUUGCUUUAGAAACUAAGAUCUUCUUACUUUUAGUUAGGAGAAAUAAGGCCUCUUGUUAGAACACAGGGAGAGAACACCAUACAGUACUGAGGCAAGAGAGUUAAAUUAUCCUGCCAUUCACAUGGUGGUACUUAUGAGUUCCUGGUAAAGGUAGAUGAGAUGUCUUGGCCCAGGACAUCUGACCUGGAUGGGGAAUAGGCACUGAGACACUCAUGGCUCUUAACCAUCAGGGCUGCGAUGGAGAGGUGGCUCAGUGAUUCAGAGCUCUCAUUCUUCCAGAAGACCUGAGUUCGAUUCCCAGCUCCCAUGUUAACUGCCUGUGAUUCUAGCUUUAGUGGCUACAGCGCUGCCUUCUGGCCCUGGGGUACCCAUACACACAGAGCAUAUCUCCACACAAACAGAUACACAUAAGU